rnacentral:lncRNA from 1 species
CAUAAUUACUCCCAUAUAUUUCUUGUAUUUCCCUCUAUACUGUUGUCGUGGCAUUGACACUAGUAUUAUUUUACAAAACAAAUUGAAAAAGAUAUUGGCAAGCAUAGUUUAUAAACCAUUCAGUAGGAUGAUAUUCUCUUGGUUGUUUUUCAUUGUUGUGUGUAAUCUUUUUUUUUUCUUUUUUUUUCUUUUAUUUUUUAAGAAAGAGCAUGAAUCUGUUGACAGAUUUUGAGUCUCAACCAACUAGCAGAAAUUUUGUUUAGGGUUGCUAAAAGACUGUAAUAUGAUUUUUGAACUAGCUGAUAAUAAAGUUGUAGAUAAGAUGUUUUAACCUGUCUUUUAAUAUCUGUUAGUUAGAUAAAGAUGUUCGAUAUUAAGUUUGUAAAUUUAAUUUUAAAUGCUGUUUUAAUGGGGUUGAAAACAAGCAGCUACUGUAUGUAUGUAGCUAACUGAAUUUGUUCAGUGUUUUAACCUGUAUUUGUUAAAAAAGAAAAAAAAACACACAUAAAGUUCCAUGUGUAAGCUUCUCUAAAUAGGAAACCACAAUUUGUCAAAUAUGUUUGCCAUAAUUUGUCAAUAAAGCUGAAAACUUUUGUAAAAACUAAAUUUGGAAUUACUUGUUUUCUAGCUUUAAAUGCCUGCUUUAUUUCUUCUUCAAGAGAUGCC